UACGGGGGGGGCAAGCGUUGUUCGGAAUUACUGGGCGUAAAGGGCUCGUAGGUGGCCAAUUAAGUCAGACGUGAAAUCCCCAGGCUUAACCUGGGAACUGCGUCUGAUACUGGUUGGCUUGAAUUCGGGAGAGGGAUGCAGAAUUCCAGGUGUAGCGGUGAAAUGCGUAGAUAUCUGGAGGAACACCGGUGGCGAAGGCGGCAUCCUGGACCGGCAUUGACGCUGAGGCGCGAAAGCUAGGGGAGCAAACGGG
rnacentral:rRNA from 1 species